AGAGCGAACGCUGGCGGCAGGCCUAAUACAUGCAAGUCGAACGAACCCUUCGGGGUUAGUGGCGGACGGGUGAGUAACACGUGGGAACGUGCCCUUUGGUUCGGAACAACACAGGGAAACUUGUGCUAAUACCGGAUAAGCCCUUACGGGGAAAGAUUUAUCGCCAAAGGAUCGGCCCGCGUCUGAUUAGCUAGUUGGUGAGGUAACGGCUCACCAAGGCUACGAUCAGUAGCUGGUCUGAGAGGAUGAUCAGCCUCACUGGGACUGAGACACGGCCCAGACUCCUACGGGAGGCAGCAGUGGGGAAUAUUGGACAAUGGGCGCAAGCCUGAUCCAGCCAUGCCGCGUGGGUGAUGAAGGCCCUAGGGUUGUAAAGCCCUUUCGGCGGGGAAGAUAAUGACGGUACCCGCAGAAGAAGCCCCGGCUAACUUCGUGCCAGCAGCCGC
rnacentral:rRNA from 1 species